rnacentral:rRNA from 1 species
AACGUAGGAGACAAACGUUAUCCGGAGUUACUGGGCGUAAAGGGCGUGUAGGUGGUGCUGUAAGUCUGGCGUGAAAUUUUUCGGCUUAACCGGGAAAGGUCGUCGGAUACUGCAGGACUAGAGGACGGUAGAGGCGUGUGGAAUUCCGGGUGUAGUGGUGAAAUGCGUAGAGAUCCGGAGGAACACCAGUGGCGAAGGCGACACGCUGGGCCGUACCUGACACUGAGGCGCGAUAGCAUGGGGAGCAAACAGG